GCUUGUCUCAAAGAUUAAGCCAUGCAUGUCUUAGUGUAAAUAACUCUUAUGAAACUGCGAAUGGCUCAUUAAAUCAGUUAUCAAAUACGUGAUGGUCGCCUACUACAUGGAUAACCGUAGUAACUCUAGAGCUAAUACAUGCGCAAAUUCCCGACUGUCGCAAGGCGGAAAGGAUGUAUUUAUUAGAUCCAACCAGCCCGGUUCGCCGGAGUCCCUGGUGAGUCAUAAUAACUGAGCGAAUCGCAUGGCCUUGUGCCGGCGAUGGUUCAUUCAAGUUUCUGCCCUAUCAGCUUUCGAUGGUAGGGUAUUGGCCUACCAUGGCGUUAACGGGUAACGGAGAAUUAGGGUUCGAUUCCGGAGAGGGAGCCUGAGAAACGGCUACCACAUCCAAGGAAGGCAGCAGG
rnacentral:rRNA from 1 species